GGUGAGUAACACGUGGGAAACCUGCCCAGAAGCGGGGGAUAACACCUGGAAACAGAUGCUAAUACCGCAUAACAACUUGGACCGCAUGGUCCGAGCUUGAAAGAUGGCUUCGGCUAUCACUUUUGGAUGGUCCCGCGGCGUAUUAGCUAGAUGGUGGGGUAACGGCUCACCAUGGCAAUGAUACGUAGCCGACCUGAGAGGGUAAUCGGCCACAUUGGGACUGAGACACGGCCCAAACUCCUACGGGAGGCAGCAGUAGGGAAUCUUCCACAAUGGACGAAAGUCUGAUGGAGCAACGCCGCGUGAGUGAAGAAGGGUUUCGGCUCGUAAAACUCUGUUGUUAAAGAAGAACAUAUCUGAGAGUAACUGUUCAGGUAUUGACGGUAUUUAACCAGAAAGCCACGGCUAACUACGUGCCAGCAGCCGCGGUAAUACGUAGGUGGCAAGCGUUGUCCGGAUUUAUUGGGCGUAAAGCGAGCGCAGGCGGUUUUUUAAGUCUGAUGUGAAAGCCUUCGGCUCAACCGAAGAAGUGCAUCGGAAACUGGAAAACUUGAGUGCAGAAGAGGACAGUGGAACUCCAUGUGUAGCGGUGAAAUGCGUAGAUAUAUGGAAGAACACCAGUGGCGAAGGCGGCUGUCUGGUCUGUAACUGACGCUGAGGCUCGAAAGUAUGGGUAGCAAACAGGAUUAGAUACCCUGGUAGUCCAUACCGUAAACGAUGAAUGCUAAGUGUUGGAGGGUUUCCGCCCUUCAGUGCUGCAGCUAACGCAUUAAGCAUUCCGCCUGGGGAGUACGGCCGCAAGGCUGAAACUCAAAGGAAUUGACGGGGGCCCGCACAAGCGGUGGAGCAUGUGGUUUAAUUCGAAGCUACGCGAAGAACCUUACCAGGUCUUGACAUACUAUGCAAAUCUAAGAGAUUAGACGUUCCCUUCGGGGACAUGGAUACAGGUGGUGCAUGGUUGUCGUCAGCUCGUGUCGUGAGAUGUUGGGUUAAGUCCCGCAACGAGCGCAACCCUUAUUAUCAGUUGCCAGCAUUAAGUUGGGCACUCUGGUGAGACUGCCGGUGACAAACCGGAGGAAGGUGGGGAUGACGUCAAAUCAUCAUGCCCCUUAUGACCUGGGCUACACACGUGCUACAAUGGAUGGUACAACGAGUUGCGAACUCGCGAGAGUAAGCUAAUCUCUUAAAGCCAUUCUCAGUUCGGAUUGUAGGCUGCAACUCGCCUACAUGAAGUCGGAAUCGCUAGUAAUCGCGGAUCAGCAUGCCGCGGUGAAUACGUUCCCGGGCCUUGUACACACCGCCCGUCACACCAUGAGAGUUUGUAACACC
rnacentral:rRNA from 1 species